CAGAACACCUAUUAGAACCAGAAGGUAGAACCACAGAACAUCUAUUAGAACCAAACGGUAGAACCACAGAACACCUGUUAGAAUCCAAAGGUAGAACCACAGAACAUCUAUUAGAACCAGAAGGUAGAACCACAGAACACCUAUUAGAACCAAACGGUAGAACCACAGAACACCUAUUAGAACCAGAAGGUAGAACCACAGAACACCUGUUAGAAUCCAAAGGUAGAACCACAGAACAUCUAUUAGAACCAGAAGGUAGAACCACAGAACACCUAUUAGAACCAAACGGUAGAACCACAGAACACCUAUUAGAACCAAACGGUAGAACCACAGAACACCUAUUAGAACCAGAAGGUAGAACCUCAGAACACCUAUUAGAACCAAACGGUAGAACCACAGAACACCUAUUAGAACCAAACGGUAGAACCACAAAACACCUAUUAGAAUCCAAAGGUAGAACCACAGAACACCUGUUAGAAUCCAAAGGUAGAACCACAGAACAUCUAUUAGAACCAAACGGUAGAACCACAAAACACCUAUUAGAAUCCAAAGGUAGAACCACAGAACAUCUAUUAGAACCAAACGGUAGAACCACAAAACACCUAUUAGAACCCAAAGGUAGAAUCACAGAACACCUAUUAGAACCAAACGGUAGAACCACAGAACACCUAUUAGAACCCAAAGGUAGAACCACAGAACAUCUGUUAGAACCCA